rnacentral:rRNA from 1 species
GAUGAGCGCUGGCGGCGUGCUUAACACAUGCAAGUCGAACGGAGAUUGCUAAAGGAAGUUUUCGGAUGGAAUUUAGUAAUCUUAGUGGCGGACGGGUGAGUAACGCGUGGGUAACCUGCCUCAUACAGGGGGAUAACACUUAGAAAUAGGUGCUAAAACCGCAUAAGCACACAGGACCGCAUGGUCCGGUGUGAAAAACUCCGGUGGUAUGAGAUGGACCCGCGUCUGAUUAGCUAGUUGGUGAGGUAACGGCCCACCAAGGCGACGAUCAGUAGCCGGCCUGAGAGGGUGAACGGCCACAUUGGGACUGAGACACGGCCCAA